rnacentral:rRNA from 1 species
GAUGAACGCUAGCGGCAGGCCUAAUACAUGCAAGUCGAACGAGAUUGAGGAGCUUGCUCUUCAUGAAAGUGGCGCACGGGUGCGUAACGCGUAUGCAACCUACCUUAAUCAGGGGGAUAGCCUCUCGAAAGAGAGAUUAACACCGCAUAACAUUAUUAUAUGGCAUCAUAUGAUAAUCAAAUAUUUAUAGGAUUAAGAUGGGCAUGCGUGACAUUAGUUAGUUGGCGGGGUAACGGCCCACCAAGACGAUGAUGUCUAGGGGAUCUGAGAGGAUGACCCCCCACACUGGAACUGAGACACGGACCAGACUCCUACGGGAGGCAGCAGUAAGGAAUAUUGGUCAAUGGGCGCAAGCCUGAACCAGCCAUGCCGCGUGCAGGAAGACGGCCCUACGGGUUGUAAACUACUUUUAUACUGGAAUAAACCUACUUACGUGUAAGUAGCUGAAUGUACAGUAAGAAUAAGGAUCGGCUAACUCCGUGCCAGCCGCCGCCGUAA